GCCUGGGUGGCUCAGUUGGUUGAGUGCCCGACUUCAGCUCAAGUCAUGAUCUCACUGUUUGUGGGUUCAAGCCCCACGUCAGGCU
rnacentral:tRNA from 1 species